CCAGAAAGUGGAUGGAAAUAAGAGAUAUGCAUGUCAUCAAAGUGCUACCUGAAGAUUCCAUUGUCGUUUGGGGAUUGCAAAAAUGUUUUUAAGCCGCAGAAGAACUCUGCAGCAUCAAUGCUUAGACUUCUUCCUUAAUUCUACACAUUUGCCUUUAUUUAGUUUCCCCUUUAGCCUUUUUACAAAAAAAAAAAAGAGGCUAUUUUGCUCUCUGAGCACUGUUCAUCUCCCUUCUCCCUCCCUUUCAAUUCUUGAUAUUAAAAAUCUAUUUCCCCCUUUCCCAGACAAAAGGAAUGUAUAAAGGAUUUCAGCGACUUUGAGAUAACAAAGGCGCCACCAUUGCAGAGGUUCGCCCCGCCUCUGUUUGAUGGCAAACAAAUUCUUGCACUUGUAUUAGGGCUUUUAAGGCUAUAAUUGAACACGGCGCGUCUAGGAGAACCGAAAACAGUUCUAGACUGACCUGCGGUUUUAUAGCACUUUUGGCAGUCAACUUCAGCUUGUGUCAGAACAGACAUGACAGAACUGACCAACGGUUAAUCGGGAAACACCACCUACUUGGAAUCGCUGCAGUCCCCUCUUAAUUAAAUAAAUCACAAACGUUGGGGAUAGAACGGGCUGCAGUUCUGAAAAAAGUCAUUGGGACUUCCACGUUUAGAAAGCAAAUAACACCGUGCAUUGCCCCUGCUAACCUCGGUGAGAGCA